rnacentral:lncRNA from 1 species
UGCUAUUCUAUCUAUUUGCGGUUAGGAAUGUCUUUUUUAGAUUCCAGGGGUGUGUGUGUGUGUCAUAUCUUUUUUGCCAUGCCAGCUCCUUAAAAUUCGGUCCCUCUUGUCAGAAAGCGAUCAAACGGAUCUAAUCACCCGAUCAGUGCUUUUUGCAAUAAGAUUAGAGAAAUUGUGGUGUUUUUUGCAACGGACUUGGUGGUUUUCUGCAAACCUAGCCGCAAAUGUUGUGGUUUCUUGCAAUUGACUCUUCUACGUUAGUAACCUGAAUUGCAUUUCUGUUUUUUUCAUGUUCUAGCUAGUUUGAUCCCUGGAGUUGUUAACUUACAUUCUUGUUAUAGAUAAAGCAGGAGCGCUUAGCCCUGCCAUCCAAGAAGAUAAUGGAAUGUCGGUACUUCCAACACCCAAUGAAGUGUUUGCCCUUCCAGCACCCGAACAAUAUCGUGGCUCCAAUUCCUCGAGGAUGAAGAGG